GGGAGGCGAAGGGAAACCGAGUCUGAAAAGGGCGUUAUGAGUCGCUGGGAGUAUACCCGAAACCGAGCGAUCUAUCCAUGAUCAGGGUGAAGAUGGGGUAAUUCCUGUUGGAGGCCCGAACCCACCGUCGUUGAAAAGCCGGGGGAUGAAUUGUGGAUAGGAGUGAAAGGCUAAUCAAGCUCGGAGAUAGCUGGUUCUCCUCGAAAGCUAUUUAGGUAGCG
rnacentral:ncRNA from 1 species